rnacentral:tmRNA from 1 species
GGGGGUGCAACGGUUUCGACGGGGGUUUACGAGAGCAGAGACUGCGUGUCGCGGGGCCAAUCCGCCGUGUCAAAAACGGAAUGGAAAACACAGUUGCAAACAACAGCAACUACGGCCAAUUGGCCGCUGUCGCCUAAUUAGGCGUCACGACCCUUCCUGAGGGGCCUGAGUAGGGCAAGGGUCGUCAACACACGGGCUAGCGGCAACGAGCGUUCCGGCGUUGCGGCGAAAUCAAGGGGCUCGGGUUUAAGAUCGCCGGUCGUCGGGCGUGCUUCGACCUCAAACGUUAAAUACUGAUGACUACACACGUAGAUGUCCUGUUUGAGGGCUUCCGGACCCGGGUUCGACUCCCGGCGCCUCCAC